GACGGAGGGUGCUAGCGUUGUUCGGAAUCACUGGGCGUAAAGGGCGCGUAGGCGGCCUGGCCAGUCAGAUGUGAAAGCCCGGGGCUCAACUCCGGAAUUGCAUUUGAUACUGCCAAGCUGGAGGUCGGAAGAGGAGGGUGGAAUAUCCAGUGUAGAGGUGAAAUUCGUAGAUAUUGGAUGGAACACCGGUGGCGAAAGCGGCUCUCUGGUCCGAACCUGACGCUGAGGCGCGAAAGCGUGGGGAGCAAACAGG
rnacentral:rRNA from 1 species